rnacentral:rRNA from 1 species
AUUGAACGCUGGCGGCAUGCUUUACACAUGCAAGUCGGACGGCAGCACAGAGAAGCUUGCUUCUUGGGUGGCGAGUGGCGAACGUGUGAGUAACAUAUCGGAACGUACCGAGCAGUGGGGGAUAACUAAUCGAAAGAUUAGCUACUACCGCAUAUCUUCUGAGGCAGAAAGCAGGGGACCAUUUGGCCUUGCGCUGUUUGAGCGGCCGAUAUCUGAUUAGCUAGUUGGUGGGGUAAAGGCCUACCAAGGCGACGAUCAGUAGCGGGUCUGAGAGGAUGAUCCGCCACACUGGGACUGAGACACGGCCCAGACUCCUACGGGAGGCAGCAGUGGGGAAUUUUGGACAAUGGGCGCAAGCCUGAUCCAGCCAUGCCGCGUGUCUGAAGAAGGCCUUCGGGUUGUAAAGGACUUUUGUCAGGGAAGAAAAGGGCGGGGUUAAUACCCCUGUCUGAUGACGGUACCUGAAGAAUAAGCACCGGCUAACUACGUG